UACGUAGGGAGCAAGCGUUGUUCGGAUUUACUGGGCGUAAAGAGCUCGUAGGCGGUCUGUCGCGUCUGCUGUGAAAAACCCGNGGCUCAACCUCGGGCCGUGCAGUGGGUACGGGCAGACUAGAGUGCGGUAGGGAGAUUGGAAUUCCUGGUGUAGCGGUGGAAUGCGCAGAUAUCAGGAGGAACACCGAUGGCGAAGGCAGAUCUCUGGGCCGUAACUGACGCUGAGGAGCGAAAGCGUGGGGAGCGAACAGGAUUAGAAACCCGUGUA
rnacentral:rRNA from 1 species